UCCACAGCACAGGACAGCCAACACUAC
rnacentral:piRNA from 1 species